UACGAAGGGGGCUAGCGUUGCUCGGAAUCACUGGGCGUAAAGGGUGCGUAGGCGGGUCUUAAGUCAGGGGUGAAAUCCUGGAGCUCAACUCCAGAACUGCCUUUGAUACUGAGGAUCUUGAGUUCGGGAGAGGUGAGUGGAACUGGCGAGUGUAGAGGCGAAAUUCGUAGAUAUUCGCAAGAACACCAGUGGCGAAGGCGGCUCACUGGCCCGAUACUGACGCUGAGGCACGAAAGCGUGGGGAGCAAACAGG
rnacentral:rRNA from 1 species